UUACAAGCAGUUGAUUGUCCAACCAGUACUACCUUUUUCAAGAGAGAAGGGGAGACAUACCAUAGUAAACCCUAGCUCCACCCUUCCACCGCUUCGACGUCGCUCUGGUGUUAAAGUCACCGUCAACGUCUCAACCCCAACAGUGGCAACGACAAGAAGGGAUUUCAGGGUUUAGAACUGAUUUGAGGUAUUUGAGGGUUUAGCACUGAUUUUAGGGAUUUGAGGUUACGCAAAAAGAAGCGAAAGGAAGAGAGAGAAAGAGUGGAAUCGGAAUUGGUUUUCCGGCGUAUAGGGUUCCGAUUAUGCGCUAAAGACCGAGCUUUGCCAUCUCAAUUCUUAAAGACCAGCUCAUCAUAGCUUUGUUGAUGGCCUACCGUUUACCCUAAAAAGGCUAUCUAAGGUGAAUGUGUUAUUAUUUGUUAAUCGUUGUGUGAUUCAUCUUUUUCCUUAAACCACAUGCUACCUUUUAAUUUGGAGUGAAUUCUUGUAUUUAAUUUGCCAUGGACGUGGAAGCAACCGAGAAAUCAUCAGAAUCAAGUUCCAGGAGGACAACAGAACCUAAUGGCAUCCAACGGACGUGGACGACACGACAAUUUGAAUGUAACCCCGGCAGAGCUGGCCGCUCUCAUUCAAGAACAUGUGGCCGCAACGCAGAGAAGUAGAAUGCGCAAAACCCACCUGCAGGAGGAGGGUUAAACCCCUAUAAGAUGUUCUUAGAUUCUAAGCCUGGAAGGUUCACCGGAGCUGAGGGACCAAUCGGCUUGAUCCGCUGGAUAGAGAAGUCCGAGUCUGUGUUUGCUAUGUGCAACUGUGCUGAUGGGAAUCGAGUAAAGUAUGCUGCCUCGACAUUGGAGGACGGGGCUUUAACAGGGUGGAAUGCACAAGUACAGGCAAGAGGACUAGCUGCUGCGAACGCUACGACAUGGACCACAUUCAAAGCUUUAAUCAAAGAGGAGUAUUGUCCCCUUGACCGUGUACAACAGUUAGAGCAAAGUUUGUGGAAUCGCAAGAUGGUGGGAUCUGAAAUUGAGGCAUACACGUCAAAACACCACGACUUGGUGUUCCUAUGCCCAGAUAUGGCGCGCCCGGUCUCUAAGCAGAUUGAACUGUAUAUUGGGGGUCUAGUUCCCGAAAUACGGGGUUUGGUAAUGUCAAGCAACCUGAGAAAAACAUGUAAGAAACAAGUGUCAACAUAAAGAAGAGUGAGUUCACAGGUUUGUUAAGUUUAACAGUUUAACCAAUUCAAUAGUUUUCCUAUUAUUCCUAA